ensembl:snoRNA
UGCAGCUUUGUCAAAUUCAGUGUCUCCUUGUCAGUGGACCACACUGGCCAAAAUGGCUGCUACAGUAUUGACUAGCCCAUGGGCUCCACGUCCUUUGUAGUGGGGCGCUGGAGAUAGAUGGAGCUACCGACAAGC